CCUCCACACGAUUCUCAUCUUCCCUUCUUUGUCCUCACUCCCGACCUCCCCUUCUCCCCUUCUCUCCUCCCGAACUCCCUCGCGCCCCUCUCUCUGCACACCGAUUCCCCUCCACAGUCCACACCGAGCAACUCCCUCGCCCCUCUCCCAUCUCUCCCCAUGGAGCCCCUCUCUCUUUGCUCUCCCUCCUCUCCCUCGCCACUCUCUCGGCCGCCGUGGAGACCUGCUGCAGCCACGGUGCCUCGGCCGGCCGCCACCGCCGCCAUGGAGGCAUCGGUGCCGAAUCCGGCAGGCCCCGGCCAGUACCUUCCCGGAUCCGCCCUCAGCCCCAAUGCCGCCUGUUGCUGCUGCCGUCUCCGAGCUCGCGCUCGAUCCGGCCCGCGCUGCUGCUCGAUCCGGCCGCUCGCCCCCGUCCCCGGGCUGGAUCCGGCACCGUGCACAGGCCGCUCACUCACGGUAAGUUUCUCUCCCCAUUUUCCUCGGUUAUCUCUCUCUCUCUCAGCGCUCUCUCUUUCUCAAUCUCGUGCAGUCGAUGAGAGGCGGCGGAGCGCGGCAUUGGUGCGUGGAGGAGCAGCGGCGGCGUCAUCAAUUUUUUUCAUGAUCUUUUUGUGUGAUUUUUUCCUGUAUAAUCCUUGCAGCGGCAUCCAUCAAUAGAACUAUCAUGAAAUUAUUGAACUCCUUUUAAUGUAUCUUUUGUGCUUGCUAUAGGCCACUUCAGAUUCUGAAGUUGGAUUUGAAAGGGGGCAAGAUGUUGUUGCACAAGAUAAAACUGAACUGCAGCCGCGGCCACGGACAUGGCACCUAGUCCAAGCUGCCCGCCGGCUAUGGCUGGUGUCAGAAGAAGGUCACGGAGCACGCGGUGGCGCAGUGCACGAGGAACCGUGCGGUGGUGGAUAGCGCCGGUCAGCCCUGGACUCCUUUGCUCCUCUCUUGCACGGGAAUCUAAUCCGGCGUCGACGCGUAUCCAGAGCGGUCACCGCAGGGAGGUGCUGCGCGGGCAGUUGAGUCGGCGGUGGCGGCCCGGGAAGGCGGCGCUGUGGGAAUAGAAAAAGGAAGAUUCGAUGGAGUCUAAGGAGACACGGAAAAUCAGGACAGGCACGAAAAUUGAUGCAUGACGGACGACAACGAAGAAAACCUUCCUGCUUUUAGGCAAAGGAAGGAAGAUCCAAUGGAGUGUAAGGAGACACGAAAAUCAGGAUAGGCACGGAAAUUGAUGCAUGGCGGACGACGACGAAGGAAACCUUCCUGCUUUUAUUUAUUAGAGAUAGAAUCAGAUAAUUAAUUGGAGAUGCUCUUGCACAUUAGGUGGUAUGGCAUUAACUGAUUGGUCCUUUUCCACGAUUGUAAGUUGAUCCUGUAUGCUAGUGCCAAGACUUAAACAUGCAUGCACCUCACUUUUAUUACAACUAGACCAGAAUAUGGUUUGUCUUUCUCACAAGUACUAUACUUUAUUUCGUUGGGCUUGAAAACUAAUACCGGAGGCAGCCACAAAUGUGACAAGGAUCUUGAUAUGGAUGAUGAUGAGCACGAUCUGUAUGGCGACGAGGUAGAUGUGUACUAUGGUGAUGAGUGCUAUGGCUGCGCUGGUGAUGAGGACUAUGGAAAUCAGCAAGAUGACCAGUACAAUGAUGAUUGAGUACUUAGGGAAAUUAAGAGAAUUCUGAAGUUUAUCAUAGUUACUAUUUUGUUUUGUAUCCUGGCACUUCCUAAAUGGAUCUUUACUAUCCAGCUCAUUAGGCAUGUGUGAUACAUUGGGUGAAAUAUAAUAUAUCUUCUUUUGUCACGUGUGUUGUAAACAAUUGUAAGAUGAUUGUUUUUAAAUGAAAUUUUUUCGAAAUUAA